GGAUGGGUCUGGAUUGAUGGCAGGCUCUGCACGUGGCCUCUCACAGUGUCUCAGGCCAGAGCACACUGGAGCCCCUGACCACUGCCUUGCAUCCUAGCCCGUGGGCUUCCGGCACUGAAGCAGAUGGCACAAAG
rnacentral:snoRNA from 1 species